ensembl:snoRNA
AAGGCUAUACUUUCAGGGAUCAUUUCUAUAGCUUAUUACUAAAGGAGUUAAUCUGAAUGUGUAGAGUACCAGAAACCAUGAGGAGGAGGUGCAGUGUUCUCUCCUGAGCAGAAAGCCGGCCCUAGGCAGUGUGUUGCCUCAAUGCAACUGCCAUUUGCCAUUGAUGAUGAUUGUUCUCUUUCUCUGAGAGAGUAAGAGGAGAGGAUGCAUUCUGAGUGGCU